GAUGAACGCUAGCGGCAGGCCUAAUACAUGCAAGUCGAACGGGAUCCAGAUCAAAGCUUGCUUUGGUCUGGUGAGAGUGGCGCACGGGUGCGUAACGCGUGAGCAACCUACCCUUGUCAGGGGGAUAGCCCGGCGAAAGUCGGAUUAAUACCGCAUGACAUCAUUGAGAGGCAUCUUUCGAUGAUCAAAGAUUUAUCGGACAAGGAUGGGCUCGCGUGACAUUAGCUAGUUGGUAAGGUAACGGCUUACCAAGGCUGCGAUGUCUAGGGGCUCUGAGAGGAGAAUCCCCCACACUGGUACUGAGACACGGACCAGACUCCUACGGGAGGCGGCAGUAAGGAAUAUUGGUCAAUGGACGGAAGUCUGAACCAGCCAUGCCGCGUGCAGGAGGACGGCCCUAUGGGUUGUAAACUGCUUUUAUACGGGAACAAACGUCGGUACGUGUACCGGUCUGAGUGUACCGUAAGAAUAAGGAUCGGCUAACUCCGUG
rnacentral:rRNA from 1 species